rnacentral:lncRNA from 1 species
AGCCAUGAAGCGACGAACGAAAUGCACAAGCGCUUGCAUGGAGUUGACAGUAAAUAUGUUUUGACUUUAGACAGACAAAUUAAAUUUUUAGAUGAUAAACGUCGCAAUCUACACCACUGCUACAUAUAUAUGGGUUACAACACAAGAUCCAACGGACAAUCUGCCCCUAACCGUUGAGAUAAACUCCAGGUUCCGGUCUGGCAGCGAGUUAACUGGUUAAAGCCGCUUGGCGCUCAGGCCUGUACAGCGAAAUCAGCCGAGCCGCAGCACUCCAGGUGUACACUAUUCUACAUCAUCCAUGUUGUGCUCUAGCUUAGGAUGGGUGUUGUUGCGCUAGCUUUGGAUGGGUCGCCGCGUAAAUCGACGAGGUUGG